UGGUUGGAAAUUCCCGGCGUUCCCGGACCCUGGAGCAGCAGGUCCCGGUGUUCAGCCCUUUCCUAUUUGCGGGUCCCAGUGUUCAGCCCUUUCCUAUUUGCGGGUCCCAGUGUUCAGCCCUUUCCUAUUUGCAGGUCCCGGUGUUCAGCCCUUUCCUAUUUGCAGGUCCCCGGUGUUCAGCCCUUUCCUAUUUGCAGGUCCCCGGUGUUCAGCCCUUUCCUAUUUGCAGGCCCCGGUGUUCAGCCCUUUCCUAUUUGCAGGUCCCGGCGUUCAGCCCUUUCCUAUUUAGGCAAUACAGAGACUCCAGCAUCGGCUUCCUAACACCGGCUGCCAGUUAAGAGUAGACCUCAGAAUCCUGCUCAUCACCUUAAAAGCACCGCAGGGUCUGUCUCUGCUUCGCCGUUCAGAAUUCCUCACGGACACACAUCCCCAGAAGGGCUCUUCGAUCCACCAGCAGUGGCUCCUUCGCUGUUCCCCGCUCUCGACGCGCGACAAAGGGGCGCCCGUGCGUUAGCGGGUCCAGCACCCCGCCCUUUCGGAAGAACGUCCCGUUAACUGUGAGAUCAGCUGAGCCUGCUCUGCAUUUCAAAGAGCUUUUUGAAGACGCGCUUCUGUAAAUUAGCAUUUUUAUCAUCAUUUCUGUGGUCCUCUCUGUUUGCUUUCAUCAUCUGUAUUUCAUUUCAUUUUUAUUAUUAUUUUAUUGUUUAUUUGUUCUUGAAAGGUUUUAAUGUUUCAUGUUAUUUCGUCAGUGUUUUAAAUGUUUCUCUCUCAAGCACUUUGUAACUCUUUUUGGAUACGUGCUGUAGAAAUAAAGGUUUAUUAUUA